UGUGGAUGACGGUACCGGAAUAAGAAGCACCGGCUAACUACGUGCCAGCAGCCGCGGUAAUACGUAGGGUGCGAGCGUUAAUCGGAAUUACUGGGCGUAAAGCGUGCGCAGGCGGUUUUGUAAGACAGGCGUGAAAUCCCCGGGCUUAACCUGGGAACUGCGCUUGUGACUGCAAGGCUAGAGUACGGCAGAGGGGGGUGGAAUUCCACGUGUAGCAGUGAAAUGCGUAGAGAUGUGGAGGAACACCAAUGGCGAAGGCAGCCCCCUGGGUCGAUACUGACGCUCAUGCACGAAAGCGUGGGUAGCAAACAGGAUUAGAUACCCUGGUAGUCCACGCCCUAAACUAUGUCAACUAGGUGUUGGGUGGGUAAAACCAUUUAGUACCGUAGCUAACGCGUGAAGUUGACCGCCUGGGGAGUACGGCCGCAAGGUUAAAACUCAAAGGAAUUGACGGGGC
rnacentral:rRNA from 1 species